GACGAACGCUGGCGGCGUGCCUAAUACAUGCAAGUAGAACGCAGUUGCGAACGGGUGAGUAACGCGUAGGUAACUGCCUCAUAGCGGGGGAUAAAUAUUGGAAACGAUAGCUAAUACCGCACACUGUGAGCUGGACCUGAGUUGUGUUAGCUAGUUGGUGGGGUAAAGGACCACCAAGGCGACGAUACAGAGCCGGCCUGGGAGGGUGAUCCGGCAACCUGGGACUGGGACACGGGCCAGACCCCUACGGGAGGGAGCAGGUGGGAAACUUCGGCAAUGGACGGAAGUCUGACGGAGGAACGCCGCGGGAGUGAAGAAGGUUUUCGGGUCGUUAAGCUCUGUUGUGUGGGAAGCGGUAACUACCCAGAAAGGGACGGCUAACUACGUGCCAGCAGCCGCGGUAAUUC
rnacentral:rRNA from 1 species